rnacentral:rRNA from 1 species
AUUGAACGCUGGCGGCAUGCCUUACACAUGCAAGUCGAACGGCAGCACGGGUGCUUGCACCUGGUGGCGAGUGGCGAACGGGUGAGUAAUACAUCGGAACAUGUCCUGUAGUGGGGGAUAGCCCGGCGAAAGCCGGAUUAAUACCGCAUACGAUCUACGGAUGAAAGCGGGGGACCUUCGGGCCUCGCGCUAUAGGGUUGGCCGAUGGCUGAUUAGCUAGUUGGUGGGGUAAAGGCCUACCAGGGCGACGAUCAGUAGCUGGUCUGAGAGGACGACCAGCCACACUGGGACUGAGACACGGCCCAGACUCCUACGGGAGGCAGCAGUGGGGAAUUUUGGACAAUGGGCGAAAGCCUGAUCCAGCAAUGCCGCGUGUGUGAAGAAGGCCUUCGGGUUGUAAAGCACUUUUGUCCGGAAAGAAAUCCUUGGCCCUAAUACGGUCGGGGGAUGACGGUACCGGAAGAAUAAGCACCAGCUAACUACGUG